UACGGAGGGUGCAAGCGUUAUCCGGAUUCACUGGGUUUAAAGGGUGCGUAGGUGGGUCUGUAAGUCAGUGGUGAAAUCCCCGAGCUUAACUUGGGAACUGCCGUUGAUACUAUAGAUCUUGAAUAUCGUGGAGGUAAGCGGAAUAUGUCAUGUAGCGGUGAAAUGCUUAGAUAUGACAUAGAACACCAAUUGCGAAGGCAGCUUACUACACGAUCAUCGACACUGAGGCACGAAAGCGUGGGGAGCAAACAGG
rnacentral:rRNA from 1 species